rnacentral:rRNA from 1 species
AUUGAACGCUGGCGGCAGGCCUAACACAUGCAAGUCGAACGAGUGGCGGACGGGUGAGUAAUGCUUGGGAAUCUGCCUGAUGGAGGGGGAUAACUACUGGAAACGGUAGCUAAUACCGCGUACCAUAGGAUGAGCCCAGGUGGGAUUAGGUAGUUGGUGGGGUAAAGGCUCACCAAGCCGACGAUCCCUAGCUGGUCUGAGAGGAUGACCAGCCACACUGGGACUGAGACACGGUCCAGACGCCUACGGGAGGCAGCAGUGGGGAAUAUUGCGCAAUGGGGGCAAGCCUGAUGCAGCCAUGCCGCGUGAAUGAAGAAGGCCUUCGGGUUGUAAAGUACUUUCGGUGGCGAGGCGUUAACUACAGAAGAAGCACCGGCUAACUCCGUGCCAGCAGCCGCGGUAAUAC